AAAGACAACUUCAUGGUCAUGUGUGCCCUCAUUAUUCUGUGACAAAUUAAGCAGUUCAAGGUCUGUAGUUGGUUUCAAGUGUUGAAUCUGCAUGUCAGUGCAAAUGAAGGAGACAUUAUUAGGUUUAUUUUGUUUUUCAGCCUAUCAGACUGAAAACUGUAGGAGUGGCCAAGUCAAUGAUUUGGUACAACACCAAAAGGUCUGGAAGACAAAGUGGGUGACAGCAAAAUUCUUUCUUUGGUGAAGAAAAACCUCCUAACAUCGAGCCAAGUCAAGAGUACUCUGAAGUAGGCGAGUGAGACAUCAUCAAAGUCUAAUAUCAAGAGACGCCGAGAUUAUGAAAAGGUGCAGGAAAGGAACCGCUCAAGAUCAGAAAUGCAACAUAGUGGAGGCAGAGCGAUGGCACGAGAACAUUUGGCUGCCAAUGGAACCAAGUCACCGGUGUUUACUGAUGAUGUGACUACUGAUGGAAAAUGAGUAAUCAAUUCUGAAGUGUGUUGGGCUGUAAUACCUGAUGGGAUUCAACCAAAUGCUGUCAAAAUUAUAUGAUGGCGCUUCAAAGUGCAGAUGGAUAAUGAAAGCACUUCUGAAGGUAAAGAAAUGGAAAAUUCUUCAAUUGAAGAGAGAAAAAUCCACAAAAAAGCAGCGACUGAAGGAGGCUGCAAUUAAGGACCAGCAAAGCACCUCAAUGGAGGAAAUUCAGCAUUUGGUGAUGUUGAUGGGUUCCAGCCAGCAAACGAUUUUCUACCGAGUGUUAUCAAUAUUACUUAUAUUUAGAAUUAUGCUACUUUGUCCAAUUUCUUUUGACCUUUAAAAAUGGAAAGACUG